rnacentral:lncRNA from 1 species
ACAUUAUGUAACACGAUUUUUGAUCUUGGGUUACAAAUAUCAUUUCCUAAUUGGUUCUAUCAUAAAAAUAUGGAAAAAGUGUAUUAAACUGCAAAAGGGACAUCCUGCAUCACAUUUUUCUAUAGUUUUCCAGUGAAUAUCUUAGAGUUUCAACCAAUUCAACAUUAUUUGUGGCAGCCACAAAAACAAUGUUUCUGGAGUAUAAAAACUACAGUAGAGUCUCACUUAUCCAACAUAAACAGGCUGACAGAACAUUGGAUAAGCAAAUAUGUUGGAUAAUAAGGAGGGAUUAAGAAAAAGCCUAUUAAACAUCAAAUUACAUUAUGAUUUUACAAAUUAAGCACCAAAACAUCAUGUUUUACAACAAAUUUGACAGAAAAAGCAGUUCAAUAUACAUCAGUGUUAUGUAGUAAUUACUAUACAGUAGAGUCUCACUUAUCCAACAUAAACGGGCCAGCAGAAUGUUGGAUAAGUGAAUAUGUUGGAUAGUAAGGAAGCAUUAAGUAAAAGCCUAUUAAACAUCAAAUCAGGUUAUGAUUUUACAAAUUAAGCACCAAAACAUCAGGUUAUACAACAAAUUUGGCAGAAAAAGUAGUUUAAUACGCAGUAAUGCUAUGUUGUAAUUACUGUAUUUACGAAUUUAGCACCAAAAUAUCACGAUGUAUUGAAAACAUUAACUACAAAAAUGCGUUGGAUAAUCCAGAACAUUGGAUAAGCGAGUGUUGGAUAAGUGAUAAUGUUGGAUAAUGAGGAAUUAAGGAUAACCCUAUUAAACAUCAAAUUAAGUUAUGAUUUUACAAAUUAAGCACCAAAACAUCAUGUUAGACAACAAAUUUGGCAGAAAAAGUAGUUCAGUACACAGUAAUGCUAUAUAGUAAUUACUGUAUUUAUGAAUUUAGCACCAAAAUAUCACGAUAUAUUGAAAGCAUUGACUACAAAAAUGUGUUGGAUAAUCCAGAACAUUGGAUAAGCGAGUGUUGGAUAAGUGAGACUCUACUGUAAAUACUGCAUAGCAUUACUGCGCAUGGAACUACUUUUUCUGUCAAAUUUGUUGUAUAAUAUGAUGUUUUGGUGCUUAAUAUGUGUAACGAUUACCUAAUUUGAUGUUUAAUUGGCUUUUCCUGAAUCCCUUCUUAUUAUCCAACAUAUUCACUUAUCCUGCCGGCCUGUUUACGUUGGAUAAGUGAGACUCUACUGUAUAUUUCUAAUCUUAUAUUAUCUGCUCAGAACUGGAUUAUAUGAGGCCCCUUCUUCACAGCUGUAUAAAAUGCACACUGAAGUGGAUUAUAUGGCAGUGUGGAGUCAAGAUAAUCCAGUGCAAAGCAGAUGAUAUAAGAUUAUAAAUGGGUUAUAUAGCUGUGUUGAAGGGCCUUGAGUCUACACUGCCAUAUAAUCCAGUGCAAAUUAGAUAAUCUGUGGAAGAAGUCUAAGUGAGGCCUAAAUCGGCCUAUCCCCUAACUGAAACCUGGCUGUCCCUUGGUUGCUAGGCAACCAAGUGGGCAGAGAUUAGCCCUCUAAACUGGCAGCAAUUGGAUAAAAAAAAUUAUUGCUCUCCCUCUAAUUAGGACUUUAUUUUUCUUUUCUUUUUGUUGUAUCAACCUUGAGGCGUGGAUGAUGUGAAGAAUAAAGCAAUCUUUAGUUCUCCCCUGCACUCUUUGUGUCUUCAUUCGUUGUGAAUCGCCGUGAUGCCAUCACUCUUUUAUAUAUAUAGAUUACUAUUAGUAUUAUAUUGUAUAACAUAAAAAGGUAAAGGUUUUCCCCUGACGUUAAGACCAGUCGUGACCGACUCUGGAGGUUGGUGCUCAUCUCCAUUUCUAAGCUGAAGAGCCGGUGUUGUCCGUAGACACCUCCAAGGUCAUGUGGCCAGCAUGACUGCAUGGAGCACCGGUCUAUAGGGUCUAAAGGGUCUAAAGGGCCUAAAGGCCCAAAGCCCAGACUCAGCUGGGAUCUAACUAUCAAAGGUCCUGCCAGGAAACAACAUGAGUCCGUGUAAGUUGUACUGACAUACCAAAGCAAUAAAGAAGAAUGACUAGCUCCUUUGCAAAGGCCGAGCUGUGGCACAGGCUGGUUAAUAGUCAGCUGCAAUAAAUCACUCUGACCAAGUGGUCAUGAGUUCGAGGCCAGCCCGUGUCGGAGUGAGCACCCGACAAUUAAAAUAAAAAAUAACCCUGCUUGUUGUUGACCUAAGUAACCUGAAAGAUAGUUGCAUCUAUCAAGUAGGAAAUUUAGGUACCACUUAAGUGGGGAGGCUAAUUUAUCUAAUUUACAACACCAUAAAAAUCAUCCAGCAGUGUUUAGAAUGAGG